UGCUUGACCAAAAAUGUACCAUGAAUGUGCCCGAUCUUGACAUAUCUCUGAAGCUAAGCAGAACUAAGCAUUGUUAGUACUUGGAUGGUUGACCACCAGAGUGUGCCGGGUGAUGCAU
rnacentral:rRNA from 1 species